rnacentral:rRNA from 1 species
CUACCCGGGUAUCUAAUCCUGUUUGCUCCCCACGCUUUCGCGUCUCAGCGUCAGUCACUGUCCAGAAGGCCGCCUUCGCCACCGGUGUUCCUCUCGAUAUCUACGAAUUUCACCUCUACACCGAGAAUUCCGCCUUCCUCUCCAGGACUCCAGCUCCGCAGUUUCGAGUGCACUUCCUAGGUUGAGCCCAGGGCUUUCACACCCGACUUGCGGAGCUGCCUACACGCGCUUUACGCCCAGUAAUUCCGAACAACGUUUGCACCCUCUGUCUUACCGCGGCUGCUGGCAC